UGCAUUCAUCUUUUUUCCAUCAUUCAAAGCAGAAUCCCUCUGUCUCUCCCCAUUUAUUAUUUCCACUUCUUUGCUUCCAUUCUCUUCACCUGAUCCUGGUACCAAAGCCUCAUUGCUCACAUCCAUUCCACUCCUAUUUGUCAACUCCCCAUCCUUUUUAUCUUUCUCUUUUAUCUCCGGAAAAUUAUCCUCAGUUACUGCUACAGCCACACUCUGAUUAUCAACAUCAUGAUUUUUCUUAUCAUCCUCUUCGGUUCUUCCACACACAUCGUCAAUACCACUAGCUUCAACAAUAGAAUCAACCGCAGACACAGUGGUACCAGUUGCAGCAGGUAUAUCCGGGCAGCCAUCCUUAACAACAGAAUCUUCAGCAGCUGAAGGUUUAUUUCCACAUCCCUCCUUAACAACAGCAUCUUCAGAAGACACAGCAGGUACAUCUCCACAUCCAUUCUUAACACCAGCAUCUUCAGAAGGCACAGCAGGUAUAUCUCCACAUCCACCCUUAACAACAGAAUCUUCAGCAGCAGCAGCCUCUAGAUCUCCACAUUCAUCCUUAGUGACAGUACCAUUAGCAGCCGCAGCAGGUACAUCUCCACGUCCAUCCUCAACGACUGUAUGCUCAGCAGCAGUCAUUUCAACAU
rnacentral:lncRNA from 1 species